rnacentral:rRNA from 1 species
CAACACACAAAACAAGCGGUGAAUGCUUUGGGGUGGGGUGACUGCGUACCUUUUGUAUAAUGGGUCAGCGACUUAUAUUCUGUAGCAAGGUUAACCGAAUAGGGGAGCCGGAGGGAAACCGAGUCUUAAUUGGGCGUUAAGUUGCAGGGUAUAGACCCGAAACCCGGUGAUCUAGCCAUGGGCAGGUUGAAGGUUGGGUAACACUAACUGGAGGACCGAACCGACUAAUGUUGAAAAAUUAGCGGAUGACCUGUGGCUGGGGGUGAAAGGCCAAUCAAACCGGGAGAUAGCUGGUUCUCCCCGAAAGCUAUUUAGGUAGCGCCUCGUGAAUUCAUCUCCGGGGGUAGAGCACUGUUUCGGCUAGGGGGCCAUCCCGGCUUACCAACCCGAUGCAAACUGCGAAUACCGGAGAAUGUUAUCACGGGAGACACACGGCGGGUGCUAACGUCCGUCGUGAAGAGGGAAACAACCCAGACCGCCAGCUAAGGUCCCAAAGUCAUGGUUAAGUGGGAAACGAUGUGGGAAGGCCCAGACAGCCAGGAUGUUGGCUUAGAAGCAGCCAUCAUUUAAAGAAAGCGUAAUAGCUCACUGGUCGAGUCGGCCUGCGCGGAAGAUGUAACGGGGCUAAACCAUGCACCGAAGCUGCGGCAGCGAACGUAUCACCCAAGACAACUUUACGGAGUUGACGAUUGACGGAGCGAAGCGACGUCAAAGCGUUCAUUAAAGUCGAGUUGGCUUAGGGAUACGUUCGUUGGGUAGGGGAGCGUUCUGUAAGCCUGUGAAGGUGUGUCGUGAGGCAUGCUGGAGGUAUCAGAAGUGCGAAUGCUGACAUAAGUAACGAUAAAGCGGGUGAAAAGCCCGCUCGCCGGAAGACCAAGGGUUCCUGUCCAACGUUAAUCGGGGCAGGGUGAGUCGACCCCUAAGGCGAGGCCGAAAGGCGUAGUCGAUGGGAAACGGGUUAAUAUUCCCGUACUUGGUGUUACUGCGAAGGGGGGACGGAGAAGGCUAUGUUGGCCGGGCGACGGUUGUCCCGGUUUAAGCGUGUAGGUGUGUGUUCCAGGUAAAUCCGGUUCACUUUAACACUGAGGCGUGACGACGAGGCACUACGGUGCUGAAGCAACAAAUGCCCUGCUUCCAGGAAAAGCCUCUAAGCAUCAGGUAACACGAAAUCGUACCCCAAACCGACACAGGUGGUCAGGUAGAGAAUACCAAGGCGCUUGAGAGAACUCGGGUGAAGGAACUAGGCAAAAUGGUGCCGUAACUUCGGGAGAAGGCACGCUGACACGUAGGUGAAGUGAUUUACUCAUGGAGCUGAAGUCAGUCGAAGAUACCAGCUGGCUGCAACUGUUUAUUAAAAACACAGCACUGUGCAAACACGAAAGUGGACGUAUACGGUGUGACGCCUGCCCGGUGCCGGAAGGUUAAUUGAUGGGGUCAGCG